rnacentral:rRNA from 1 species
GCAAGUUCGAGCGGACAUAAGGGAGCUUGCUCCCGGAUGUUAGCGGCGGACGCGUGAAUAACACGUGGGUAACCUGCCUGUAAGACUGGGAUAACUCCGGGAAACCGGAGCUAAUACCGGAUAGUUCCUUGAACCGCAUGGUUCAAGGAUGAAAGACGGUUUCGGCUGUCACUUACAGAUGGACCCGCGGCGCAUUAGCUAGUUGGUGAGGUAACGGCUCACCAAGGCGACGAUGCGUAGCCGACCUGAGAGGGUGAUCGGCCACACUGGGACUGAGACACGGCCCAGACUCCUACGGGAGGCAGCAGUAGGGAAUCUUCCGCAAUGGACGAAAGUCUGACGGAGCAACGCCGCGUGAGUGAUGAAGGUUUUCGGAUCGUAAAGCUCUGUUGUUAGGGAAGAACAAGUGCAAGAGUAACUGCUUGCACCAUGACGGUACCUAACCAAAAAGCCACGGCUAACUACGUGCCAGCAGCCGCGGUAAUACGUAGGUGGCAAGCGUUGUCCGGAAUUAUUGGGCGUAAAGGGCUCGGAGGCGGUUUCUUAAGUCUGAUGUGAAAGCCCCCGGCUCAACCGGGGAGGGUCAUUGGAAACUGGGAAACUUGAGUGCAGAAAAAGAAAUGGAAUUCCACGUUGUAGCGGUGAAAUGCGUAAGAUGUGGAAGGAACACCAGUGGCGAAGGCGACUCUCUGGUCUGUACUGACACUGAGGAGCGAAAGCGUGGGGGAGCGAACAGGAUUAGAUACCCU